rnacentral:rRNA from 1 species
AUGGAUUCACAUGGCGGGGUGGCCGAUUUGAGCGACAGCAGGCUCGGAAUCUGCAGCCACUAUGUGUUGGGGAGCUCCGAGAUGCAGCAGCAGGCUGAAAAUCUGCAGCCACUACGUGUUGGGGAGCUCCGAGAUGCGGUCCUCCUGUCGACUGCACGCCGGCGCUCCCUCUCGAUCCUUCUCCUCCCCCUCCACAUCGACCAGGGUUCUAAGGGGCUAAUUACGCAACCUGGAGGCACUGGCCAAGUUGGGAUUGAGAGAUUUUUAGAUGCCAAAGAAGUAAAUAAGGGUGCGUUUGGAUCUCAAGCAAGCCUUACUCUAGCCUCGCCCAGCCAGGAUAGCUGUUUGGUGGAGUCGAAAAAAGCUAGCUUUGCCUAG